rnacentral:lncRNA from 1 species
AGUCCCUUUGCUCAGGUUUGAGUGCGGUGUGUGUUGUUCAUUCCACCUGUCUUUCCCAGCCUUCAUCUUAUGGGCUGUGGGCAGAAAAGCAGCGGAAAAGAUGGAUGAUCCUCCGAAGAUGGACGAUCCUCCGAUGUGGGUGCCUGUCUGUUUUUUUAAAGUCUUAGAUGGCAGUAUUGUGCCAUACAGACCCUUCUCUUCUGCCCUAUGUGUUUGAAAAAAUACUGUGAGUCUUUUUAAACUAAAGAGGCUUUUUCCCCCCUUUCCUUCUUCCCUUCUCUCCUUACCCUUUCACCCCCCUCCCCUUCCCUUUCCCCAGUAAGAUUUCUGCCUGUCUGGAACUGGCAAUUGAGUUAAUAAAUUCUAGAGUUUGCCUUGUUGAUAUUCACAGCCUUAGAACAAAUCCCUUUAUUUUUCAAGUUGGCUUUACUGUUGUGAGGCAGCCUAGACGCUACAGCUACUUGUAUUUUAGCUUCUCUGAAAAGCCUUAUUAUUCUACCCCCUGCUUUCCCUGGGGUUUAUCGACCUUUAUCAAUGUGUUCUUUCAGUAUAGACUUUGUUGCACUUCCGUCUGGAUAUUUCUGUAAAGUGUUAAUGAAAACAGUUUUUUCCUACAGUCCCCAAACCCAGUGGUCACCAUUAAUUGCACUUUUAUGGUAAUUGCCUCGGAGGUUUUUCUAAUCCAUACGGGUCUUUUAAACAUACUGGGAUGCAUAUUUAUACCUUUGCUUUAUCAUCUUAAAAACUUAUGCAGAAAAUAAGACAGAAUUCCAUUGACAUGUGUAAUUGCUGAGUCACAUUGUCACCUGAACAUUUUCUUCAGUGUGACAAAAUUAUUUAAUAACUGAUAUGAAAAAUACAAACAACCCACAGCCCCCAUCUCAAUAUCAAAUAUUAUAAAUGUAUUGUUGCUAAGGACAAGAUCUGUAUUAGUUUGUUUCUUUUUUACUCACCAUCGAUUUUUAAGCACAUAAAGUAGCUAGCAGUAUGUUCUGAGUAGAUAUGUUGUAUAUAUGAAUUAGUGGUUGAUUUCGGCAGGGCAAUUUUGUUUGCAAAUACAAUGUGACAUUUCAUAAUAUCCUGUAGUGCUUAAACAGUUUUCUAUAUACCUUCUCUUUCCAUUUAAACUAUGUAAUAAGUAUCUUACUGGACUUUGAAACCAUCUUUGUUUCCAGGUUUACAUUCCUUCCCAGAGUCUUUGUUCUUAUAUUUAGGACAAAAAUGUAUUCUACAUAAGAGUGUAUAAUGUAGAAUGUGAUUCCACAUCUGUGUGCCGGAGUUGCCACAAAUAUGAAGGAUGAUGCUUUUAAUAUGUGCUUCAGUGUUGAUAGCCUGUAUAAAUAGUGCAACAGGUCCUUAGUGUGAGGCCUCACUACUAGAUGUCACCUUAUUGCUAUCUCUAUUAUUUGUCUUGACAUGCGUAGUGGGGAAAGAUUUUUAAAUCAGCAUUUUAUUUAUUUAUUAUGUAUUUAUUUACUUGAAUCUGGGUAUGAUACAAAUCUCCUUAGAUGUAACCUCUUGAAGUUCUCAUUCCUACCUUUCAGUAGGAAAAGCACUAUAUAAUUUUGAGUGAACGGAGUCAAGGAGGAAAAUCAUAAUAUUUUAAUAUUUUCAUAGUCUUAUAUUUCUAGAAGCAGUUAUUGGCUUCACAAGUCCAAACUUUUUAUAUUAAUUAAAUUUGCUUUGACAAUAUUAUAAAUAAGUCAACCCUUUUUAUUUUAUGAGUACAUUUUGCAUGAAAGUUAAUUCCUAUUAUAUGUGAACUUUGGUUUUUUGUGCCCUCGCCAUCAUGUAUAAAUUUUGAAAAAUUGAUUUAAUGUUGCAGAUGUAGAAAUUAACCCCACAGUGACACAUACAUUAUAAAUGUUUUCCUUUUAAAUUAUGGUUGUAGUUUCCAGAUAUAUAAUUAUUAUUACUACCCUCCCCCCUACUUCUCUGCUGGGGGUAGAACUUGGAGCUUGAAGCACUCAGGUAUAUGCACUGCCACUGAGCUACUGCUGCCUCCCUCCUAGCAUUGAAGCCUAUGCGCCACCAGUUUAUUCCUCUGUGCAGAGCUGACAGUCCCAUCUAGUUCUCCUUCCCCUGUCGCUCAGUUUUAGCUUCCUCCUUUCAUUUUUCCACUAUUGUAAGGUAGUCUGCAUCAAAAUGCUUUGAAAACCCCAAAUAAAAAUUCAAAGUGACUACAUGUUUAAAUAGUUCCCUAACUAUAAGUUGUUAAACUCACUCACUACCCUCUGGGAUGCCAAUAUAUGUCUGUUCCCCAUAUCCCUUGUGGCAAUUUAGCACAAUUACAUGCUUUUAUACUUUCACUAGUAGGACACAUUCUGAUUCAUCAAAGCUGCCCAUACACACACAUAAAUUUAACCUUCACCCAUGAGGGCAGAGCUGGUAGUUGUGGAAGCAGUUAUCUUCUUCCUUCUGUAGCUGAGGGGGUGGGUAAGCAGUGAUGAUGUUAUCAAAGGAAGAGAUGAAUACAAGGUGUGGCUGGGAGUGGUAGCUCCAUUAACAAUAAUAACUUCUACCAUUUCCACCUUAAAAGGAAUGUCAGCACUGAGAGAAGACCCACAGGAACUCUACUUGCUUUCUCUGUCAUCUGCCAGUUUUACUUCAUUGUCCCCAUGGAGAAGGCUGACUGCUUCUUUGAUCCUGUCCAGUAGGUCUGGGAGUUUACACAACCUACUGAAGAAAUGUUUUUCACAUAUUCACUAUUAAUUUAUCAUUAAUCCCAUGUGAUGAAAUGGCAGUAUCUUUUGUUUGCUCAUUUUGUUGGUUAUUUUUGAAAUAGUGUAUGCUUGUGGGGUUCAGUCUGUUUCUAGUCUGCUGCUUCAGCCUCCCAUGUUCUGGGAUCAGAGAAGUGUGUCACCACCCUGACUUUCUAAUUCAUUUCUGUUGUAGUCACUUUGGAAUAUAUGGAAGAGAAUAAAUGAAAAAGUGUAAUCCUUUCUUAAUGUGUUUUGCAUAUCGCAUUCAUUUUUCCAUAAUUGUGGUAAUAUACUGCUCAAUAUUAGAUUAUGAAAUAUUUUUUCCUAUUAGGUAAUUAGCAUAUUUUCUUUUUGUUUCUCUUUUUUGAGACAGGGUAUCUCUGUAUAGCCUUGGCUAUCCUGGAACUCACUCUAUAGAUUCAGAACUCAGAGCUUUGAACUCAGAGAUCUGCCUACCUCUGCCUCCUGAGUGAUGGGAUUAAAUGCAUAUGCCACCCCAGUCUACCAUCUAUAUUUUCUUAAAAUUCAAAUUUCCCAAGUCUAUCAUAUCUUGUCCUAUAACAUGAUUAACAGUUCUUUUAUUGUUUCUGACAAAGAAAAAAUAAUGCUAUGACAAACAUUGUUAGGACAUCAGUGUCCUCAUUUUAAACAGUGUGCCUUCUGUGGCUUUCUGCCAAUUGGACAGAUAACUCC